rnacentral:lncRNA from 1 species
CCGUGGUCCCUCCAAUUGCCCGCUUCCGCUAACGGAAGCCUGGAGAGCUGGAUCCUGCGGGAUGGCAGUGCGCUCAGGUCCCGCUCUGGUCGCUACCUGCGCUGCCCGGGGCACGGCAUCCACUCGCCCGGCCUCACGCUCCGCCCUUUCUCCGGCAGGUGUGCAAAGCCUGACCGGCCGAGGCUGCCAUUUCCGCGGCCUGCGACCCGCGGCCCGCGGCAGCUCGAAGCUGGUGGCUGAACCAGAACUUCGGGCGCCUCUUUCCCGCUAGGACGCUGCCUGCACCGCGUGCCAGGGCGGCGGGCAGGUGUCCUCCGGGAGGAGCCUCUGGGACCCGCGGCGGGCAGGGAUGGCGUGCAGCAACCCGUGUCUUUCUUACCUUUGUCCCUGUGGUGUCCGCUGAUGGGGACUGGGUGCCGCGGCCCACCCAGGCCGGCCUGCCGCCCGGAGCGCCCUGGAGCUGGGUAGGAGCGGCGGUUGAGCGUGUGAGUGGAUCUGCACCCACCUGUCCGCUGGCGCGGGGUGGGGGCCAGGUGAGUGGUCAGUGAGCAUGCGUGGGCUUCAGGUGGUGCGGAGGGAACACCGCGGACUGUGCCAGUUGUGCCUCCAGGCAGGAGCACCAAAGGAUGAACAACAGGCCUUGCUUGGGUGCCUUGAGGUUGAUUUCUGUGUCAGGUCCCUGCUUUGGAAGCUUUCCCUAAGGAUGACCACUCACUCUGAAAGCUCCUUUUUCCACUUCUUCCUUUUGUACUUAGGCAAACACUUUGUCAUAUGCCAUGCUCUGUGAUUUGUGUUUCUAAGUUUGAUUAUUCACUUUCUAUAGAUCAAUUAUGAAUCUCUCCAAUUAGGACUUUAAUAUUUGUUUUUCUCAAAACUCUGUUUUUGACCUACAAGCAACUAAAAACUUAGCAUUUAAUGCAUACCUUUUUCUUCAUUAAUUCAGCUAAGAAAUAUGUAUGGAACACCCACUGUGUGCGUUGUGCUGGGCACUAUACUAGACACCCUCCAUGCAUAUUUGAUUAAGGCAUAGGCCUUUGCAUCACAUGUCCUUUCAAUUUGGUGGAAAAGUGAAGAGAAUCAAUUGCUCAUUAUCUUUCUUGCUUGGCAUAAUGUCAGUCAAUACUCUCAAAUUUCACUUUUGUUCAAAGAUUCUGAUUCUUGCAAGAAUAUUUUAAUUUCUUUGGGGAGUUCAUUUAGUAUCUGAAAUUUUGUGUGUAUUUUAUGCUGCCUUUCUAUAAUAUGCCUUUACUGGCUUUUUAAAGUGCACAUAUGUAACUUUUCUGAAGACAAAAUGAGGCCUUUACCUAUAAUGGAGUCGUGUUUGGUUUUUAACACAGUAUGCAGUAUGGUUACUGCUGAAGCUGAAAACCUGGUAUUCUUUCUCAGUAGUGGUAAUGUUUUUCUGGCAAUUGCCAUACUAGGCCCUUCACAUUCUUGGAGUAUAUUGGAACUUUAUGAAUAUAGAAAUGUUUAACAGGCUUCUGACUUUAUCCCAUGUAACACUUCAAUUGAGAGUCUCUUGUUUUCUUUGUAUAUACCCAUACCCCAAAUUCACUAUUUAAUGUUUAAGUUUAUCUUUCAUUUGAUGCACUUUUCCCCUUCACAAAGAAACCAAGUUUUUGUCAACUCAUGAAGCUGAUGAUACAUAAACAACUGUAAAGAGAACCACAAACUGAGAUGUGUUUUCUUUGCUAUCUUCAUCUAGACACAGUUAUGUCUGUCUCCUAUGCUACCCCACCUUGGCCUUAUGAUAAAAAUUCAUAACCCAGCAGAAUUACAAAGUGUUAAGUCCACAAAUAAUUGCCAAGUCCUGUUCAAAGGCAUUCUUUCUCACCUGCCUUUACCUGUGCUUUGAUUUUGAAUAGCUUUGUGCUGUUUUGGAGCCUUCAUUUCUUAAAAGUUAAAAUGGACCCCUAGAGAAUAAAUACAGCACAGGAGGAGUGAUUUCAGUGACUUAGUCACAGAUCAACACAAAACAUUUUAAAUAAUGAAUGGGAUUCAAUUAUCAUUUUGUAAAUGAUCAUCUUUCUUCCUUUUCUGGUAGGAUUUUUAGACCGUGAGGAGCAAUUGGAGCUAAUCCACAUUGUGGGAAUGGAAACCACCGAACCUGAGCCAGACAGUGCAGUGCAGCCUGCUUCUUGUCCUGAUGACCUUUCAUGCCAAAUGAGACUCUUUGAGAAGAUCACUCCAUUGAAGACUGUUCUAUGAAAAAGCAGGAUCAGGAGAGAUUGGGAACUCAAACCCUAAAGUCUUUGAGACCAAUAUUAAACACUUUGCUAGAAUCUGGAUCACUUCAUGGGGAUUUUAGAUCUGAAGACCAGAGUGGAGAUGAGAGCAGUUUACAUGAACCUAUGUGAAAAAACCUCUGAAAAUUAAUCCAUCAUGUCCAACAGAAGAAAAUAAUGUGUCUGUCCUGAUUCCUGUGGGGGGCCAAAUACCAGAAGCCCAUCUUUCCACUGAUGUUCCAGAAAAAGCGGUUCCAAUCCAAAUCACACCUUUCCACCAGAAACCAUGAGUGAGACAGUGUUUCAUUCGACCACAAGGCACUUCCAGACUGAACUUUUUUAAAAAUUUAUUUAUUUGUUCUAAUUAGUCAUACAUGUCAGCAGAAUUCAUUUUGAUUCAUAGUACACAAAUGGAGCACAACUUUUUAUUUCUCUGGUUGUACACAAAGUAGAGUCACAUCAUUCAUGUCAUCAUAUAUGUACCUAGGGUAAUGAUGUGCAUCUCAUUCCAUCAUCUUUCCUACCCCCUUGCCUCUCCCUUUCCAUCCCUCCCCUUUGCCCUAUCUAAAGUUCAUCCAUUCCUCCCUUGCCCCCUCCCCCAUUAUGGAUCAGCAUCUACUUAUCAGAGAAAACAUUCACAUUCAGUUUCAAGUGAUAUUCCUACUAGCCCUGACUGCAUAAAGUAAUGGAUUGAUUAUAUUCCAGGGAUUUUCCAAGACAACAGAUUUAUAAUCCAGUAUAUUUGGACAUCAGUGAUAAAUUGAGUACUGAGCUCUUCCAGGACAAAAGUGAGGAGGCUUCCCUUGACCUUGUGUUUGAGCUGGUAAGUCAGCUACAGUGUCACACUCACAAAGAGAAUGGAAUUGAAAUUUGCAUGGAGUUUCUGCAAGGCACUUAUAUUUAUGGCAGGAAUUGUUUGAAGCAUCACACUGUGUUGCUAUAUCAUGGGCAGAUCAAGAGCACAACUGCUCAGAAGUGGCAAAGUAUUCUAUGAUUCUCAGGAAUAUUCAGAAAAAUUUUAUUGUAACCCAGAAAAAGAUAGAAUGAGAAAGAAGUGUGGGUAUGUAUUAUAACAACUUGUAAAAACUGUUAAAUUCUGUAGAGAAAGUAAAAAGGCAAAAGUAAAGUAGUUUCAGUAAAAAAGAAAAAAAAAUUAUUGAAAUAGCCAUAAUGUUACCCAAAUUAAUAAUUUGUAAGUGUACAUGUUAGUGGUAUUGAGUCCUCAAAUCUUUGGACAUAAUCAGCAGCAAGAUCAUGAUAUUGACAUUUCCCACUGCCACUCAUCAUUGAACAUGGGAAUUCUCAGUAGGGCAUUUAGACAAGAACUAUACCAGAGAUAGGGGAAGAAAUUGCUUUAUCUCUACUCUCAGAAGACAGGAUCCUACACUUCAAAUUCCCACAAGAUUUCUCAAGAAAACCCAGGGUAUUAAUAAUUAAUUUCUGCAUAGUUGCUAUAAAUAAGUUUAUAUAUCGGCAAUGACAAAUACACAAAGAAAUUUAGAAUAGCAUUUCCAAUAGCAUGUAAAAAGCACAUAUUUCUAUGGAAAUUUACCCAGGGAAAUAAGGCUUAUAUAAUUAAAUGAAUACAUUACUGGGGAAAAAAAAAAAGCUCCAAAUAGAGUUUUCUCAAAUAGCACAGAAAAAUACUUAUAGAGAGAAAAAAUCACCAUGAGACCUGUACAAAAAUUCCAUAAAAUUCAACAAAAGUAGAAAACCUAUGGCUGAGUAAAGCUGAGGACAUACUGGUAUGAAUGUGGGAGAUGUGAGCAAAAAGUAAGUAGGCAGAGAACAACACAGGCUGUACGACCUGAAUGAAGAAAUACAUUACACAAGAUCUGGAAUGUUGCUACCUGUCCUUUGGUUUUGCAUUAUACUCAAAAAUAAAAGUACUGUGCUGGCACAUGAGCUUUCUAAAUUUCUUAUAUAUGGAUAGGAUUUAAACAUGAAAAUAGACUUAAAAC